rnacentral:misc_RNA from 1 species
CCAAAGUAUUUUUUGUUUUAAAGGAAGUUUGCUUUAAAUAUCACUUAAACUACUUAAUUCAAGAAAAUAAUUUCUUUGUAUAAAGUCAAUUCAGAACGUAGUGAGAUAUCGACCUGUGAACUCUAAAAAGAAACAAGCUCAAACAAUAUGAAGAAUCUAAGUCUUAUUUUAUUGAUUUUCGCUAGUGUUCUCAUCAUGAGUAACUCAGUUUCAGCCAUGAAAUGCUACAUUGGAAGGGAUGACAUUGACAUCCGAUUCGAUUCUUGUCGUGACUGUGACAAUUGUAAGUGCUAUUCACUUGAGCGUAAUGAUGGUAUCAUGGAGUAUGGCUGCGAAGAUAGUAUAGAAAGUAUUGGAUGUGACACGACCAUUGAUGGGCAUCGAUGUUUAUGUGAUGAUGAUUUAUGUAAUUACAGCAUGAUUGAUUCCAAAUCUACAAAAAUGACAAGCUCUCUUCUAUUAAUUGGAUAUGGCUUCCUUCAAUAUUUCUACCUUUUGUAAUUUGAUAAUUAUGUAAAUAAAUAUAUUUUCUUUUUGUACUGCUUAAAAAUUGUACAAAUGUAUGUAUUAAUUCAAUGAAAUCAAAAGAUUUGAAUUUUUCCUCCUUAUACUCUCAUUGGUGUCGUUAUAUUAAUUUUUAAACCAAUCAUAUCCUUUAUAUUGUUUGAUAUCACAAUAUUAAUUCAUUAAUGGUUAUUAAUUAAGAUCUAGCUAUAAUUUAAUGAUACAUUAUCUAUUAUUACGAAGGGCUUAAUACAAUCAUUUCUCAGUAGUGAAGGCUAUUUUAGGAGAACCUACAUAAUUAUAUAUAUAUACAUUAAUAGGUAGGUAAUAUAACUUACAUAUUGGACUUAAUAAGAUAAUAUGAUUUAUAAAUAGCUAUAAUAUGGCCAUAUUAUGACGUCACUAAUUUAUAAUACGCUGAGUCAUUUAUUCAUUAUAUGAUCAGUAAUAAGUUGACGACAUGAAACACUUUCGAACUCUAAUCCAGUGCGUUUUAUCCCUUCUUCUUCUUACAGCAGAUUGUGAAGGCAUAGGUUGCUAUAUUGGAUAUGGUCGGAAGGCAUUGCCUUACUUAUGCCAUGAAGGUGCAUAUUAUGCAUUAGGAACACCUGUUUGUGCCACUACAUCACCUAUUGGUGGCGAACAUUAUAGCUACUUUUGCUUUCUAGUUAGAAGGGACUUUGAUUUAUCUAUGAUUGGAGGCUGUUAUACCUAUAAUUUUGGACUUAAUGGACAUAUACUAUGCUUAUGUACAACGGAUUACUGUAAUAAACGGAAGAAAUGAUGUUUGUGUAAUGUUUUAAUUAUCUAAGUACAGGAUCUGGAAUGAAAUUUUUCUGGAAAUUAAUAUUGUGCAAUGGAUGUACUUUUUAUUGAAAAACUAUUUUGUCAAAAAAUAAAGCUGGAAAGUUCUCAUAAGAA